rnacentral:rRNA from 1 species
UACGGGGGGUGCGAGCGUUAUCCGGAAUCACUGGGUUUAAAGGGUGCGCAGGCGGCCCGUUAAGUCAGGGGUGAAAUCCCGCCGCCCAACGGCGGAACUGCCCCUGAUACUGGGGGGCUGGGAUGGGCUCGAGGCCGGCGGAACGUGGCAUGUAGCGGUGAAAUGCUUAGAUAUGCCACAGAACACCGAUUGCGGAGGCAGCUGGCCAGGGCCCCAUCGACGCUGAGGCACGAAAGCGUGGGGAGCGAACAGG